ensembl:lncRNA
CAUGUCUUGGCUAUUGUGAAUAGAGCUACAAUAGCAGCUGCUUUGUAUAGUUGUUAUGGUGUUCAAACAAGUUAAUAUUUUUCUUAAAAAAAAAAAAAGCAUUUGGAAGCCUGGCACAUAAGCGCUAUAUAUGUGUUAGUUUAUAUCAUCAUUUUAACAAAUGUGUUUUGCAUUCCUCGUUUUUUUUCCCCUCAAAGUUCUGCCCUAAGCCUUCAGGCAGCAGCCCCUGUUUUUCUUAGGGAAGGGAGGCCAUAGCAGAAGAGCAGGAACAAAGACGUGAGUUUUUUGUAGCUUUUGACUUACUAGACAGAUUUUUGUUUCUUCUUUUUCUUUUGACAUUACUUCAGACUUGCAGAAAAGCCACAGAAAUGCUCCAGAGGAUUCCCCUCUGCCCUUUAUUCAGCUUCCCCAGAUAGGAACACUUAUCAUCUCCUUGAUCAUCUUCUUUCUCUCUCCUCUAAAUUAUUUAAGAUGGAGUUGCAGACAUGAAACCCCCUUUAUCUCUAAAUACCUUAGUGUGUGUUUCCUAAGAACAUGGACGUUUUCUUUGAAGGAAGGAGGCAUUUUCUUCCAUAACCCUGGUGUAAUUAUCUGAAUCAGGGAAAUGAACAUGGAUGCAUUCUGUAGUUUAAUCUGCAGACCUUAUUCAGGUUUUGCUGAUUGUCCAGGAAUGUCUGUUACAGCAGAAGAAGAUCUCAGAUCAUGAAUCACAGUCAGUUUUCUCAUCUCGUUAGUUUCCUUGAAUCUAGAUAAGCUCUUCACUUUAUGCUCUUCUUUUAUGAUGCUGACAUUUUAAAAAAGAUGACUGACCAAGUGUUUUGUGGAAUGUUCCUCACAUAAGUUUGUCUUACGUUUUUUCCUUAUGAGAUUCAGAUGACAUGUUUUUGGAAGGAAUCUCACGGAAACGAUAUUGUAAGUGUUAAUGCCUCAUACCAGGGGCCACGUUCGCUGUGGGGCUCUCAUGUCCAUUUUGAUAUCUUGGUUAAGAUGAUAUCUGCCAGGUUUCUCCACUGAGAAGAGCCUACAUUUUUUGGUGGUAAAUAUUUUUAUUAUCUUGUAGUGAGAUGUUUUGGAACUGUGUAACUAUCCUAUCCCAUAAAACCUCCAGUCCCCAGUUUUAAUAUCUGGUGAUGAUUCUUCCCUGAAACAAGCAUUUUGUGACGGUUAUCAAAUGUUACUUCUUCUCAUUAUGUUGUGCCUUCCACAUUUGUCAGUUGGCAAUUUCAUCUCAGGAAAACAUUUCCCUUCCCCUCCAUUCAUUCAUUUAUUCACACAGUGUAUUUUAUAAAUGUGUAUUCCAUGUGUAUUAUGUUACAUGCAAACAUGGACACACAUUUAUUGCUAUGGCCUCAUCCUUAUUUCAUGAGGUGGAUUACAUUUUUUUUCUGUAUUUUCAUGCUCAAGUCCCAGAUUUGAGCAGCAGGAGCCCCUUCCAGCUGGCCCUGUGUCCUUUUGACACAGCCCCAUCAAUUUUGGCUCAGCCUUCUGGCACAUGGUGUUCCUGGCUUGCCUUGUACUUAAUUUGCCCUAGUCCUGGAAUCAGCUAUUUCUCUAAGGAACCCUACUUCCUUUUAGUGGAGAUUGUAUCUAAAUGGACAUAUUUAGUGGAGAAAAUGGGUUGAGGAAAAAAAAUGUUCAGAUCUCAAAAGCCAAAUCUCAUGGACCACACAACAGAUUUGGGCAGGAUCUGGUUCUUCACCCUGCCCAGGCUCUCCACAUGACAGGAGAGUGGAAGCCCAAACCCAGCUGCUGACCGUGGUCUAAGAAAGUCCCCGACCCCAGGAGGUGGAGCCCCCUCCUGCUGUUGAAGCUUGGAGACAGUUGCUUUCCCAGAAUCCCUUGCAGCUAGUUCAUAAUGGACUGGGUUGCCUGUGUUUCGGAGCCUAACAGGAGCGUCUGGAUUCCAGUCCCAUCGGGCCGCAUGGCAGUCACCCAGCAGGUAGGUCCCACCCCCACCAGGCCUUUCUGUGGGGUGAUCUCUAGCUGCAGAAUGCUCCUGUCUUUCCCUCCAGCUCUCCUUGAGAUUCUGGGGGAUCCACAAUGUUCUUGUAACGGCCCGUUUUUUGCUUAAAUAAGUUCUGAGUGCUGUGAAGGGCCAUCUGUGCCUGCCUCUCAUUGUGCUGAAGUCAGGUGGGGAAAAAGAGAGGAGACCCCCAGAUCAGUUCUGGAAACUGGAGCAGAGAAGGGCCUUGUUCCCCACUUCCUUCCAGAGCUUGCAGAAUUCCCCAGCCUGCAGACUGAAGACAGUCACCUAUGCGUCCAUUCAACGUCUACCAUCUACUCGUCUUCCCAUCCAUUCAUCCACCCACCCACCCUCCGUCUGCCAUCCACCAUCUACUAUCUGUCCAUCCAUCAUCUACCAUCUGUCUAUGCACUGUCUGUCCAUCCCUCCAUCCAUCUGACAUUCAGAAUUGAACGCCUGCUCUGUGCUAGACACUGUCUGGGUCCUGGAGACACCACCGAUGAAGACACAGCAGAUACAAAUGUGUCUGUUUCCACAUGGAGCUUGCCUUCCUGUAGGGAAGGCAGGCCUUAAGUUACACAGGUUGUAUGUCAGCUGGUGAGAAGUGCUAUCAAGAUGAACCUUGAAGGGGGCCGGGAGCACUGAGGCAGGGGCUGUCGGUGUUCUACCCUGAGUGGUUAGGAAGGCACCUUGAAAAGGGGCGGCGCAUCCCAGGUGGAGGCAGCAUCGAGCCCCAGGGUGCUGGGGAGUCAGAAUGCCUGGUCUGAGGGACCCCACCGAG